rnacentral:rRNA from 1 species
UGGGGAAUAUUGCACAAUGGGCGCAAGCCUGAUGCAGCCAUGCCGCGUGUGUGAAGAAGGCCUUCGGGUUGUAAAGCACUUUCAGCGAGGAGGAAGGUGGUGAACUUAAUACGUUCAUCAAUUGACGUUACUCGCAGAAGAAGCACCGGCUAACUCCGUGCCAGCAGCCGCGGUAAUACGGAGGGUGCAAGCGUUAAUCGGAAUUACUGGGCGUAAAGCGCACGCAGGCGGUUUGUUAAGUCAGAUGUGAAAUCCCCGGGCUCAACCUGGGAACUGCAUUUGAAACUGGCAAGCUAGAGUCUCGUAGAGGGGGGCUAGAAUUCCAGGUGUAGCGGUGAAAUGCGUAGAGAUCUGGAGGAAUACCGGUGGCGAAGGCGGCCCCCCUGGANGAAGACUGA